CAAGGAGUUUAGGGCAGUUUCCUUCCAGAUGGGUGGCUCGGCACAGGGUUUUGCAAAAUCCCGGGGAAGAGGAGGAAGCGGCGGGGGAGACGUGGAAACCCCCCCGGCUGAUUUAUGGAGAGGAGGGUGGGAAAGGGGCCUCCCCAUUCCUUGGGAAAGCUUUUCCGGAGCCGCCUUCGCUGGAGACCCACGGGGAGGAGAUGAGCAACGUUCCCCACGCUGCAGCCGCCGGCAUCGCUCUCCCACUCGCUCCAACCCCAGCUCCGAUGCUCACUUCUCCUUCCAGCCCAGCCUAAACCUCCAACUCAUCCUUCUUCUCUGCUCACUCAUCCCUCCAGCCCAGAUCUCCAACUGUGCGUGGUGCUCUGGCACAGUGCAAGGAGGAAAAAAAAAAAUCCAUUUCAUGGGGAAAAAAGGAGUAAAAAAAAUAAUAUCGACAUUUCAACUGUUGUGUUUCUUCUGAAAUGAAGAUGCUUGUAAAGUUUUUUGCUGAACACAAAGAGCAAGACCUUCCCCAGCCAUCAACCAGCAGCAGAGACGUGCUUGGGAAAAGGGAAAUUUAUAUUCGAGCCUCUUCCCUGGCCUUCUUCAACCCCGUCCCUAAGAGAGACGAAUUCAAGACGGCGCAAAAACCAUCUAGAGAGACUCAUUGAAUAGUUGUGUGGUCCCACUUCGUAGCGCGGAGACAUACCACAGCUUCCCUGCACCGCGCUUCUGCCAGGGAUAACGAAGCCCAGAGCCACCCGGGUACUCUCUUUCCAGAGAGGAAAAGGUUUAUUCCAAUUUUAGGACCAUGCACGAAGUGGAGGAGUUUUGGCAACCACGACCCACGGAGCUGUUGGCUCCCAGCAGAGCCACCACCCCAACCGUGGAAACCAUGUGAGAUUGGAACAACCGUUUUUUGAGGGGGGGUUUUAAUAGUUGGGUAGUUUGAGAUAACUCAAGCACGGAGCUGAAAGGGAGCCUGGACAAGGCUCUGCAGGUGGAAAAGCUUCUUAAAUCAGCAUUUCUACAGAAAGCCACUUUCUGGCCCAGAAGGACCCACCACCGAUGACACAUGGGGACAUCAGGUUGACCUUGGUGAGACUAUAACCUUGUUUUUGAGGACAAACCUUACUGCAAACACAACACCCAGGCGAUGGAAGGCACCGGUGCCGCAAUGGGAGGUGGGAUUUGACAGGGAAGGGGUUUGCUGGGGUGGGGGGGGGACGCUGGAGCCCCCCACACCGGCUCCUCCCUGGGCUGUGGCACAGACACCCUGCUCCUCACAAGCCUUCGGCACAUUUCUCAGAGAAACGGCUGGAAAAAUUCCAGCAGCAAAUGUAUCCGUCUCCAACAGGGGGAAAAAAAAAAAAUAAAAUAAAAAUAUCUUGCUUACA
rnacentral:lncRNA from 1 species